rnacentral:rRNA from 1 species
CGAUAGUGAAACAGUACCGUGAGGGAAAGGUGAAAAGAACCCCGGGAGGGGAGUGAAAAGAACAUGAAACCGUAAACUUACAAGCAGUAGAAGGACGACUAAAACGUCUGCCUGCGUGCCUGUUGAAGAAUGAGCCGGCGACUCAUAGGUAGUGGCAGGUUAAGGCAGUGAAUGCUGGAGCCACAGUGAAAGCGAGCCUGAAUAGGGCGUUUGUCACUAGUUAUGGACCCGAACCCGGGUGAUCUAACCAUGGUCAGGUUGAAGCUUAGGUAAUACUAAGUGGAGGACCGAACCGACUGAUGUUGAAAAAUCAGCGGAUGAGUUGUGGUUAGGGGUGAAAUGCCAAUCGAAUUCGGAGCUAGCUGGUUCUCCCCGAAAUGUGUUUAGGCGCAGCGGUUAAUAUUAUAGCUUAGAGGUAAAGCACUGUUUCGGUGCGGGCUGGUAAUUCGGUACCAAAUCGAGGCAAACUCUGAAUACUAAGUGAACAGUUAACCAGUAAGACUGUGGGGGAUAAGCUUCAUAGUCAAGAGGGAAACAGCCCAGAUCACCAGUUAAGGCCCCUAAAUAAUUAUUAAGUGGUAAAGGAGGUGGGAAGACUCAGACAGCCAGGAGGUUUGCUUAGAAGCAGCAAUCCUUUAAAGAGUGCGUAAUAGCUCACUGAUCGAGUAAACCUGCGCCGAAAAUGUAUGGGACUAAGUAAUUUGCCGAAACUGUGCGAUAUAUAUUUAUAUAUCGGUAGGGGAGCGUUCUGUUGUAGGUCGAAGUAUUAGCGUAAGCGGAUAUGGACGAAGCAGAAGUGAGAAUGUCGGCUUGAGUA